GCUCCUUCCUUCAUCUGUGUCUCCAUGAACUUGCGGUAAGCUGCGGGGUCGUUUUCACACAAAUCAUCCAGCAUGGACCAAAACUGGUCGACCUGCCUUAAAACAUCCUCUGCACUGCCGAUGGAGGCCAUGUUCUAAGAUCCAGCCCAAGAAUUCAGCCACUUUGGUGUAAACUCCAGGGUGGUUAGGCUCAGCACAGCCUGUCCCCCAGCUGACAACCCCCACCAGCCUCCACACAUUUUCGUCCUGGCAAACCAGAGGACCCCCACUGUCCCCCUGGAGAGGCCACAUCACCUAACUUCCUGUCUCGUCCUGGCUGCCUGCCGCUGACUUGACCUGGCUGCAAAUCAUCGCCGGGGCGACGUCACGGCUCUAAAUGAUCGCCCUCUGCUCCUCGUCUCUCCAUCAGGGCUGCGAUCAGAGACAUCUACAGGGCAUUUGAACUGCCCACAGCCCAACCGGGUCAGGACCAGGUUUAGUCGUCCUGGAAUAAGAAGCACAAACUGAUUACUGCAACCUGAUUUAAAAAAAAGAAAAAAAAAAAGGUCGGAACCAGACCGCGUUUAACAGGUGAGACGGUGGAGAAGGACUAAGGGAGGGGAGGAGGGACAAGAUGCCAUCCCGGGUCAGAGCUGACCGCUGCGGCUGUUGACACGCUGUUGACACGGCACCGGUUUGCGGCUUAAUGUCACAUCACAGCCGAAAAUAUCGAGGCCCUCGUUGGUACUUAGUAUUUUGACAUCCUAGCUGUAAGUAUUAACUUUGCUCCUGCACAAACACGCAUCAUCCAACACGUGUGUAUUCACCCCCGACACAUUUAUCAGGGUCAAGCUGCCCCGAGGAUUCUCCAGCCCCAACAUAACCUGUUUGCACUGUAACCUUUCUGUAAAUAGUCCUGUGUGUCCAUGACAUGGCGAAAAACAAAAAAACAAAAAGAGGUGAGGGAUCCAAUCAUAGGCGUUUACUGCCACCUAGUGUCCAAAUGAUGUCACUGCACUGCUUUGGAAAAAAAAAAAAAAAAAAGAGGGGAGGAGGGGGGGAAAAAAAGGGAAAAGUAAUUGAACCUAAUGACAAAAUGGGCCAGGACAAAAUUAGAUUCAGAAACCAUUUUUUAUUUUGUAAAUGGGUUAGCACUCAGACUGUACACAACAGAUAUUUUUCUGAGUUUGACCCAAUAAAACCCAAAAAGGAGCAUCCAGAGACGAGGGAGCAGGGCGGUCAGCGAACGAGGUGAGUAAAGCUCGUCUUCCAGUCUUCUCUUAGACUUUUACAUCUACUGUCUAAAAAGUUCCAUCUCCCGCCUCAGGUGGACCGCCCUGCUUCCUGCUGCCGGUGGCAUCCUCCACUUCUCAAGCAGUCGCUCUUGGUGAGUGAUUUUUGUACAAAAAGACAAAAAAAAACAAAACAAAACAAAACAAAAAAAAAAAACCAAAGAAAAAACAAAACAAACAAACAAAAUGAAAUAAAAAUUCAAAGACCACAUUACAGAACACUUGAAUUACAACUGGAGGGGUGGGGGAGGGAAAUAAAAAAAACAGUGUGUAGUAAUGCCAGAACAAGCCCCGAAAGGUAACACUCAUGAAAUCAAUAUUAGAACUAUCUUCCCCCCAAAAAACGAACACGGGCACGUUUAUCUGCCUCGUAGUUACACGUUAUGAAGUACUGACUGAGUUCAUGCCAAGGCUCAGAACACCUCCCCUCACUAUAGCUGGCGAUAUAUAGUGCUGUGACCAGAGACGGACAGUUUUUAUACACUACACGUGUUAUAAUGACCACAUUAGUCCAUUUAUCAUACGUUUCUUCUAAUAAUACACUAUAUUAAAUCAAAAAGAAUAGGCUAAAUCUCUCACGACGAAGCUAUGCAGAUUAUCAUAGAAACUGAUGACGAGACAAUCUACUGACACACAGGCACAGUGCACAAGCUUGCAGGCAGGAAAUGGAAAAGAAAUCUUUGUAGUUUUUAAAUAGUACAAAAAUGUUUUUUUUGUUUUGUUUUUUUUUUUCAUUUCUUUUUUGCUUCAAAAGCGUAACUCAGAGUACGAAGCCAGACCUUUGAUCUGCUUUAAUGUGAGGAGGAAACAAUAGCUGUUGUAGUUGUUACUCGCCCCGACACAAAAUACGUGGCGUAUAUUUAGCGCAAGAUCACAAGACAUUCUCUUGAUUUGCGGUUCUUCAACCCUUGGCUGAGAAUCAGCAGUUCUGCUGGCUUUUUUUUGUUGUUUUUUUUAUAUUUCUGCUUCUGUUCAGUGAGUUUCCUUUUU